rnacentral:rRNA from 1 species
GACGAACGCUGGCGGCGUGCUUAACACAUGCAAGUCGAACGGAAAGGCCCUGCUUUUGUGGGGUGCUCGAGUGGCGAACGGGUGAGUAACACGUGAGUAACCUGCCCUUGACUUUGGGAUAACUUCAGGAAACUGGGGCUAAUACCGGAUAGGAGCUCCUGCUGCAUGGUGGGGGUUGGAAAGUUUCGGCGGUUGGGGAUGGACUCGCGGCUUAUCAGCUUGUUUGUGGGGUAGUGGCUUACCAAGGCUUUGACGGGUAGCCGGCCUGAGAGGGUGAACGGCCACAUUGGGACUGAGAGACGGCCCAGACUCCUACGGGAGGCAGAAGUGGGGAACAUUGCACAAUGGGCGGAAGCCUGAUGCAGCAACGCCGCGUGCGGGAUGACGGCCUUCGGGUUGUAAACCGCUUUCGCCUGUGACGAAGCGUGAGUGACGGUAAUGGGUAAAGAAGCACCGGCUAACUACGUG